UGGGGAAUUGUUCGCAAUGGGCGCAAGCCUGACGACGCAACGCCGCGUGGAGGACGAAGAUCUUCGGGUCGUAAACUCCUGUCGAGUGGGAAGAAUAAUUCGGGGAUGAAUACUCUCCGGAAUUGACGGUACCACUAAAGGAAGCCCCGGCUAACUCCGUCACAGCAGCCGCGGUAAUACGGGGGGGGCAAGCGUUGUUCGGAAUUACUGGGCGUAAAGGGCUCGUAGGCGGCCAACUAAGUCAGACGUGAAAUCCCCAGGCUUAACCUGGGAACUGCGUCUGAUACUGGAUGGCUUGAAUUCGGGAGAGGGAUGCAGAAUUCCAGGUGUAGCGGUGAAAUGCGUAGAUAUCUGGAGGAAUACCGGUGGCGAAGGCGGCAUCCUGGACCGACAUUGACGCUGAGGAGCGAAAGCCAGGGGAGCAAA
rnacentral:rRNA from 1 species